AUGUUUUCGCGGGGGGGGCCUUAACACAUGCAAGUCGAACGGUAACAGGGAAGCAAGCUUGCUUCUUUUGCUGACGAGUGGCGGACGGGUGAGUAAUGUCUGGGGAAACUGCCUGAUGGAGGGGGAUAACUACUGGAAACGGUAGCUAAUACCGCAUAACGUCGCAAGACCAAAGAGGGGGACCUUCGGGCCUCUUGCCAUCGGAUGUGCCCAGAUGGGAUUAGCUAGUAGGUGGGGUAACGGCUCACCUAGGCGACGAUCCCUAGCUGGUCUGAGAGGAUGACCAGCCACACUGGAACUGAGACACGGUCCAGACUCCUACGGGAGGCAGCAGUGGGGAAUAUUGCACAAUGGGCGCAAGCCUGAUGCAGCCAUGCCGCGUGUAUGAAGAAGGCCUUCGGGUUGUAAAGUACUUUCAGCGGGGAGGAAGGGAGUAAAGUUAAUACCUUUGCUCAUUGACGUUACCCGCAGAAGAAGCACCGGCUAACUCCGUGCCAGCAGCCGCGGUAAUACGGAGGGUGCAAGCGUUAAUCGGAAUUACUGGGCGUAAAGCGCACGCAGGCGGUUUGUUAAGUCAGAUGUGAAAUCCCCGGGCUCAACCUGGGAACUGCAUCUGAUACUGGCAAGCUUGAGUCUCGUAGAGGGGGGUAGAAUUCCAGGUGUAGCGGUGAAAUGCUUAGAGAUCUGGAGAAAUACCGGUGGCGAAGGCGGCCCCCCUGGAACGAAGACUGACGCUCAGGUGCGAAAAGCGUGGGGGAGCAAACAGGAUUAGAUACCCCUGUUAGUCCACGCCGUAAACGAUGUCGACUUUGGAAGGUUGUGCCCUUUGAGGCGUGGCUUCCGGGAGCUAACCGCGUUAAAGUCCAACCGCCUUGGGGGAGUACUGCCGCCAGGGUUAAAAACUCCAAAUGGAUUGGACGGGGGGCCCCGCAACAAGCGGUGGGAGCCAUGGUGGUUUUAAAUUUCGAUGCCACCGCGAAGAAACCUUUAACCUG
rnacentral:rRNA from 1 species